rnacentral:rRNA from 1 species
UACGUAGGGUGCAAGCGUUGUCCGGAAUUAUUGGGCGUAAAGAGCUCGUAGGCGGUCUGUCACGUCGGCUGUGAAAACCCGGGGCUCAACCCCGGGCCCUGCAGUCGAUACGGGCAGACUAGAGUGCGGUAGGGGAGACUGGAAUUCCUGGUGUAGCGGUGAAAUGCGCAGAUAUCAGGAGGAACACCGGUGGCGAAGGCGGGUCUCUGGGCCGUAACUGACGCUGAGGAGCGAAGCGUGGGGAGCAAACAGG